UUUUAAGUGUUGCUUCACGAGAUUGUAGUUUCCCGAGUUUGGAGUGGGGAAUGUGGUCCUGUUGCAACAGAGUGAUUGGGAAGUCGCAUCACUAAUAAUCUCCAUGGUAAAGUUUGAUUAUUCGCGUGCGUGUAUUCGUGACUUUCGGCAGUGGGUUCCAUGAACAGAGUAAUGUCGCGGCCAUUGAAGCUAUGCACAUCAAUUACGAGUGGUGAUUUUUGAUAGAUCACAAGAUUUGUCCCAGCACCUCACUUGAGAUGCCGCAUUGAUCAAGGCAGUAUCGACAAUGCGUGUGUGAUAGACUAAUCAAUAAAUCGGACGCCAUUUGAAAGCACGCAUAUUGAAGUCAAAGUCUUUACUAGUCGUUAUUUGUUCUGCUUUAAGCACGUGAGUAUAAUCUGAGGUUGAUGCGUGACUCGCACAGGUGAGGCUGGCAGCAGGACUUGGAUCUACUUCCUUUGUAAUGAGCAGGCACAUAAACUUCAAUGGCAGCCAACGUGUAUGCUGAAGAUAUGAGGGUCUCAUUCAAUUCAGUUAUUCUUGUACGUUAGCGAUGAAUUUCUUUCUCCUGAGAGAAUCGAAGGAUGUGCUUAGAGAGUGAUUAUUUUACUCUCAGAGCCCAUCAAUAGCUCAAGUGCUUUAGCUGUGUACGUGCCGUAUUAUGAAGCAGAAGGCUUUACUCACAUAACAUAGCUUCCCUGCAGCGAAGUCGAUGAUGAAUAUACAAUCUCAUUUCGGUUCCGCAAAAGACUUUCAUUCUCAUUAUUCUACAUCGAAAAGCAAUAUAUCUAGUUCGAAAGGUCGACAUACCAAGAAUUCCUUCCAAUUGCAACCCCAGCAGAACUGAAUUUGGCACUUAGUUUGCAAUGUAACACUCCACCUAUUAACGAUGACAUCUUCAAACGAAAAUGAGAGCUUAAUCUUAACAGUUCCAACCACAUCGGAUUCUAAAGA
rnacentral:lncRNA from 1 species